rnacentral:lncRNA from 1 species
CUUUUGUCCUCCCACUUACAUAUAUAGGCUUUGUGCUUUAUGCAAUAAAGAAAUUAAUUAAUUUCAAUAUUAUUCCAUAUUCCGUACGUAGCCAAAUAGCCUAUUAUUAUUAUUAUUAUUAUUAUUAUGUGGAAUUAGUGUGAAAAAAAGGUGAGUGCUUGGUUGGUAUACCUCAAGUUGGUCACCAAGGUUGAUGACAAUAGAGUGUUUCAUAGGAGGAACAUCAAUCCACUGACCAUCCUUGAGAAGCUGAAGGCCGCUGACCUUGUCAUCUUGCAAGAGUAAGAUGAUUCCACCAGCAUCAGUGUGAGCCCUGAGUCCCUUGAUUAGGUCAGGUUUGGGGCAUGGAGGAUAAUUGCUAACCUUGGUACCGAAGGUUGGCCCUUUGGACCCAUAAAACACUUUUUUCAGGUAACCAGGCUCCAACCCCAGAUUCUCACACAACAGGUCCAAAAGUUGCUCUGCAAGCUUCUCCAACUCCACUGCAAAUUCCUUCAUCACCUUU